UUCAUGAUGAUAUUAAUUGGUCCGUGUUUAUGAAUUUAUGUUGAUUAAACUUUCCAAUUAAUUUACUGAUUUUG